rnacentral:rRNA from 1 species
GGAAGUAAAAGUCGUAACAAGGUCUCCGUUGGUGAACCAGCGGAGGGAUCAUUACCGAGUUUACAACUCCCAAACCCAUGUGAACAUACCUAUUGUUGCUUCGGCGGGAUUGCCCCGGGCGCCUCGUGUGCCCCGGAUCAGGCGCCCGCCUAGGAAACUUAACUCUUGUUUUAUUUUGGAAUCUUCUGAGUAGUUUUUACAAAUAAAUAAAAACUUUCAACAACGGAUCUCUUGGUUCUGGCAUCGAUGAAGAACGCAGCGAAAUGCGAUAAGUAAUGUGAAUUGCAGAAUUCAGUGAAUCAUCGAAUCUUUGAACGCACAUUGCGCCCGCCAGUAUUCUGGCGGGCAUGCCUGUCUGAGCGUCAUUUCAACCCUCAUGCCCCUAGGGCGUGGUGUUGGGGAUCGGCCAAAGCCCGCGAGGGACGGCCGGCCCCUAAAUCUAGUGGCGGACCCGUCGUGGCCUCCUCUGCGAAGUAGUGAUAUUCCGCAUCGGAGAGCGACGAGCCCCGGCCGUUAAACCCCCAACUUUCCAAGGUGAGAUCAGAUCAGGAGAAACCCGUGA